rnacentral:tRNA from 1 species
CAAAAUAUAGCUUAAUUAAAGCAUCUCGCUUACACCGAGAAGAUAUCUGUGAGACCCAGACUAUUUUGA